rnacentral:rRNA from 1 species
UACGGAGGGUGCAAGCGUUGUCCGGAAUUAUUGGGCGUAAAGAGCUCGUAGGUGGCUUGUUGCGUCUGCCGUGAAAGCCCGUGGCUUAACUACGGGUCUGCGGUGGAUACGGGCAGGCUAGAGGCUGGUAGGGGCAAGCGGAAUUCCUGGUGUAGCGGUGAAAUGCGCAGAUAUCAGGAGGAACACCGGUGGCGAAGGCGGCUUGCUGGGCCAGUUCUGACGCUGAGGAGCGAAAGCGUGGGGAGCGAACAGG